rnacentral:lncRNA from 1 species
UUCGAUACGACCCGAUACACGACUCGAAACCCGCACGAUUAAAUUUUUAGGUCAACCCACCAUGACCCAUUUAUAAAACGGGUGGAUUUUGGGUCAACUCACCAACCUGCUAAAAUACUUAUAUAACCCGCCAACCCGUUAAAAUACGCUUGUAACCCGCCAACUUGCUACCUCAUUUAUUUGUUUAUUCUUCAUUUAUUUUUUAAUUUUUCUAAUUUUUUUAGUUCCUACCACUUAGUGGGUUCAAU